rnacentral:rRNA from 1 species
UAGAAAUGUAAUGGAUAUAAAGCUUAUGUUUAUAUAUA